CAGUAGCCGCGGGAAUACGUAGGGUGCAAGCGUUAAUCGGAAUUACUGGGCGUAAAGCGUGCGCAGGCGGUUUGUUAAGACAGAUGUGAAAUCCCCGGGCUCAACCUGGGAACUGCAUUUGUGACUGGCAGGCUAGAGUAUGGCAGAGGGGGGUGGAAUUCCGCGUGUAGCGGUGAAAUGCGUAGAUAUGCGGAGGAACACCGAUGGCGAAGGCAGCCCCCUGGGCCAAUACUGACGCUCAUGCACGAAAGCGUGGGGAGCAAACAGGAUUAGAUACCCCAGUGUCCCUGUCUCUUAUACA
rnacentral:rRNA from 1 species